AUUGAACGCUGGCGGCAGGCCUAACACAUGCAAGUCGAGCGGAGCGGCGGACGGGCGAGUAAUGCCUAGGAAUCUGCCUGGUAGUGGGGGAUAACGUCCCGUAACUGGCGCUAAUACCGCAUACUAUCAGUUGAGCCCAGAUGGGAGUAGCUAGUAGGUGGGGUAACGGCCAACCUAGGCGACGAUCCCUAGCUGGUCUGAGAGGAUGACCAGCCACAAUGGAACUGAGACACGGCCCAGACUCCUACGGGAGGCAGCAGUGGGGAAUAUUGCGCAAUGGGCGCAAGCCGGAGGCAGCCAUGCCGCGUGUAUGAAGAAGGCCUUCGGGUUGUAAAGUACUUUCAGCAGGGAGGCGUUACCCGAAGAGAAAGCAACGGCUAACUCCGUGCCAGCAGCCGCGGUAAUUC
rnacentral:rRNA from 1 species